AGAACGAACGCUGGCGGCAUGCCUAAUACAUGCAAGUCGAACGGACUCUUCGGAGUUAGUGGCGCACGGGUGCGUAACGCGUGGGAAUCUGCCCCUUGGUUCGGAAUAACAGUUGGAAACGACUGCUAAUACCGGAUGAUGACGAAAGUCCAAAGAUUUAUCGCCAAGGGAUGAGCCCGCGUAGGAUUAGCUAGUUGGUGAGG
rnacentral:rRNA from 1 species